AAAUUAAUAGAAUGAGUGGACUAAAAGUAACUUCAACAGCUCCUCAUCCUAACUUGAUGUCUCUACUUUUUGGGCAAAUUGUAAAAAAACUGCCUCCAACAGUUUUCCAUCCGGGUUUCCAAAUUUUAGCAAGUUGUCAUAUCCUCUCGUUUGCACGGAUAUAUGAGAGUCUGGAUUUCACUUGGCAUCCAAAAAAUACGACGCUGGUUUUCUGCUAUCAAUUGUGUAGGACUAUAUCAUCUGUGAAUGCACAUACGGAUAUAUGAGAGUCUGGAUUUCACUUGGCAUCCAAAAAAUACGACGCUGGUUUUCUCUCACGCCUCCACCUGAAAAAUUUACGUGCGACGAAAAGAGAGUCCUGGCGUGGCCGAGCCGCCGUCCAGUCGCCGAGCCGCCGCCACCGCCGAGGCCUGUUUCUGUGUAGGACUAUAUCAUCUGUGAAUGCACAUUAUCUAGCAGCAAACACGAACUCAUCGGUGGCGCGGGAGGCGUGCCGCGGGGGCGUGGGCGGCGCACAGCAGGCGACGCGGCGCGGGGGCACGGCCGGUGCCGGCG
rnacentral:lncRNA from 1 species